rnacentral:misc_RNA from 1 species
AUGAAGAAAGCUAAUGCAAAACCAAGUUUGGCAGAAGAGGCAGCAGCGGCUGCAAAAGCAGCUGCGGCAGCAGCUGCUGAUGUUGCAAAACUUGGUUUUGCAUUAGCUUUCUUCAUGAGAAAAUACUUCAACGAAUUUAUGAAUUUGUUGGAUAUGCAAGUUCAGGAAAUGAGAUCAAUGAGCACCGCAAUACGUAAAUUGGAAGGACAAACUAAUAACCUUGGNNNNNNNNNCAACAUGAUACCAGCGAAAUCGGGAUUGCGUUAAAGUUCCCACAGAGGAAAUGGCACCAGUAGGAACAGAUGCUGCAGGUUGAAGAGCUUGCGUUUGAGCUGGUGGCUGAACAUUUGAUGUUGAUGUCACUUGCGCUUCUUG